GGAAACUAUCAAGAAGUGGCCAAAAUGAGAGAACAUUUAAAUACAGCAGUAUUUUUUUUUUUUUUUUUGGUACAGUAAAAUAGUAGAAAAGCCAGCAGCAGAUACAUGGUGACUGUACAGGAGUUAACUCAUGUUCUUUCCUCAAAACAUAUUGUGGCAGGAAGGUGAAUGUAAGCUUCUGCAUAGAUUAAACACUGUCCAACAUAGUUUAAAGUUUUGGUUCCUACAAGUACAGCUGAAAUUCUAUCAUUACUAGGUCCAUAGGCAUGUGAGCUACUAGCUACACGCACUCUCUCUAAAGUUUCAUCAAGGGGAGGUAAAUGUUCAGGGAGGUAACUGACUGUGUCAAUGCUGUCCAGUUUUCCUCUCCACCCUGAACCUGAAUGCAUUUAAAAUUAAGUGCAGUUUUAAGUAGUAAGCAAUAGCAUUUUCACUUGUUCUGAGCAGGGUGUGUGCUCUCCACGCUUGCCUGCCUCAUCUGCUUCCAACUGGCAAUUGCACAAAACCACAAAUCAGGAAUCUUGGCUGUCUAAUCAAGAAGCCUAUGUCUGGCAGUGUGGGCUCAGCUUACCUGAGUGUAGUUUAUUGACCAACUUUAACAGCAAGUGUAAACUGGGUCACUAUAGUUAUUUCUCCCUGUAAGAAAAUAGUACAGAAUUUUACCGGGUUCUUUGUCAAUUGAGGAUUUUCUUUACAGCAGUCUUUAUUAACGUUCAUAUCAGAGAUAUCUAUUUGCUGAAGAUCCUAGAGACUUCUUCCAACUCAAGCAUGUUAUUUGUUUGCAGAUUCUCUCUCUUCUGGCUGUUAUUUUUGAAGAAAUUGUGGAGGAUUGUAUCAAGUGUGGUGGACUUUACUUCUUUGAAUUCAUAAGCUGCAGUGCCUUUCUUUUGAGCCUCCUGAUCCUCUGUGUGUAUUGCACUGAUGUGUAUGAAACAUUUGGGGAAGAUAAAGUACAGAGAAUGAAUUUUUGGGCCAUGCCAGUCAUAGGUGUCUGUUUUCUGUUAGCAUCAAUAGUGCUUGUUGCAACCAGCUCUGGGUCUACUAUUGAACGAGCGGCAUGGGCAUUUGGAUUUCUUGCAAGUGGUGCAUUUUUUGCUGAAAUUAUUACAGACCUUUUUCACAGUUGGAAACAAAACGUUGACAGAUGCUCUGAAAAUCCCGGCAACACUCAGAGUGCCACAGAAAAUCAGCCACUGAAUAAGCAAAGCUAACUUUCUGGAAUAAUUUCUCUUUUUUUUGAAUGGAGCAAACUAAAAUGAACUUUCAGUGCACUGUAGGUAACAACUUCUGUCUCUUCCUUCUAAUCCAUUUUGUAUGCAUUGCUCACCAUAAAUUUUUAUCGAUCCUUAGGUCAAGUAAUGGCAUCUUGAGCAUCAUGUUCUAAGGUAACUGGUCCUGCUUAGUAACUGGUCCUGCCACCUGUCCAGGUGCCAUACACUAAAAAAAAGUGUGUCUAAAUAGAAUAACUUAAAGGACAACAGCAUGCUUUGAUUUUGACAAAGGUGACUAAUAAAGGUUAACGUGUGAUGCA
rnacentral:lncRNA from 1 species